rnacentral:rRNA from 1 species
GUGCCAGCAGCCGCGGUAAGACGAACCGUGCGAACGUUGUUCGGAAUCACUGGGCUUAAAGGGCGCGUAGGCGGGCAUUCAAGUCGGUGGUGAAAUCCUCCAGCUUAACUGGAGAAGAGCUGUCGAUACUGGAUGUCUCGAGGGGUGCAGGGGUCUGCGGAACUUCGGGUGGAGCGGUGAAAUGCGUAGAGAUCCGAAGGAACGCCGGUGGCGAAAGCGGCGGACUGGGCACCUUCUGACGCUGAGGCGCGAAAGCCAGGGGAGCAAACGGGAUUAGAAACCCGUGUAGUCC